UUUUUUUUAAUCUUUGAUUCUUUGAUUCAAGGGAAGAUGGGUUAUCUUAAUAUUUUUUUUCUUUUAAUUAAGGAAAAAAAGUUUUGAUUCUCGCAUUCCCAGGGCGCUUGUUUUCUCGCUUUGCGAGUCUAUGCGCACCUAGAGCGUACACGAUGAUACCCGAAAGAUGGUGAACUAUGCCUGGCCAGGACGAAGCCAGGGGAAACCCUGGUGGAGGUCCGCAGCGAUUCUGACGUGCAAAUCGAUCGUCAGAGCUGGGUAUAGGGGCGAAAGACCAAUCGAACCAUCUAGUAGCUGGUUCCCUCUGAAGUUUCCCUCAGGAUAGCUUGCGCUCGGUUGAGAAGAGUCUCAUCCGGUAGAGCGAAUGAUUAGAGGCAUUGGGGUCGAAACGACCUCAACCUAUUCUCAAACUCCAAAUAGAUGAGA
rnacentral:rRNA from 1 species